rnacentral:rRNA from 1 species
UACGGAGGGGGCUAGCGUUGUUCGGAAUUACUGGGCGUAAAGCGCACGUAGGCGGCUUUGUAAGUUAGAGGUGAAAGCCCGGAGCUCAACUCCGGAAUUGCCUUUAAGACUGCAGAGCUAGCAGGUGAGAGAGGUGAGUGGAAUUCCGAGUGUAGAGGUGAAAUUCGUAGAUAUUCGGAAGAACACCAGUGGCGAAGGCGGCUCACUGGCUCAUACUGGACGCUGAGGUGCGAAAGCGUGGGGAGCGAACAGG